CAGAAAAUAGUUUUAAUGAGAAUGCCGGUUUUGGGUAUCGGUGGUGAGAGUUCAAGUCUCUUUUUUCUGG
rnacentral:tRNA from 1 species